AUAUUGUUUAUAUGAAAGAUCUGGCCAGAUAGACAGACCACAGGACGGACAAUCAGAUAAAGAAAAAAAAAAAAAAAAGGUGUAUAAUGGAAGGAUAGUUGUUAGCCCAUAGAACAGUCAGAUAAAGUAAAGGACAUAGUGGAUGAAUAGUAGUUACAAAGUCAGGCAUUUUAUAUGUGGACAUGAGACAUGAACCAAAAGAUGUUGUGGAAGGAGCAGACAUAGAAACGUCAUGAUGGAACUAUGCCUGCUGAUGAUAUGAUGAAUGUUCUGAGAAACAGAUGAUAACCCUAGUGUUCAAUAUGACCAUGGAUGUUUUCCUGAUGCAUCGGAGAGAGACGGAAGAAUCCCAAGAGGGAAUCCAUUGUGAGAUGUGCUGUCUUCCUCCUUUACCACGGUUGAUGGCUUCUGUAAUCUCACUAGGUAGAAGUGUUUGUAAAGAUUCGUGGAUGCCAAGAGCACAGAAUAUUGGGGAACUCUGGGUUAAACUAUAAAAUCUAGAUUAGAUUUUUCUGGGAUCUUCUAGUAGCAGCACACCAGAAUCAGAAG
rnacentral:lncRNA from 1 species